ensembl:lncRNA
GCCUCCCGCCGCGGCGGCGCGCACGGUGCGGAGCGGAGCGGGGCCGGGCCGAGCGGAGCCGCGCUGCCGCCGGGCGCAGGUGUGCGGUGCCCCCCCCGGCCCCCGGAGCUGAAGGGUGUCCAUUUGGACCUGGGUCCUGACACAUGGAUGUGUUAUUGUGGGGUGCCCACUUGGAGCUGGGGUUAAACAUGGGUUUGGUAUUUUAGGGUGCCCGUUCAGCUCUGAGGCUCUGCAUGCUGGUUGCCAUGGGGUCCCAUUGCCAAAGGCAGAUCCCAUCCCCAGGUUGCACUUCUCCAUGGUCACAGGGCCACCAGGCUGGGGGCAGUGGGGGGAUUCAACCAGGGGGAUAUGGG